rnacentral:rRNA from 1 species
UUCCCCGUUCGGGGGGACGAGGGUGGACAGGUGGUUGCAUGGUUGUCGUCAGCUCGUGUCGUGAGAUGUUGGGUUAAGUCCCGCAACGAGCGCAACCCUCGACCUUAGUUGCCAGCAUUCAGUUGGGCACUCUAAGGUGACUGCCGGCUAAAAGUCGGAGGAAGGUGGGGAUGACGUCAAAUCAUCAUGCCCCUUAUGACCUGGGCUACACACGUGCUACAAUGGGCGGUACAAAGGGUCGCGAACCCGCGAGGGGGAGCCAAUCCCAAAAAGCCGCUCUCAGUUCGGAUUGCAGGCUGCAACUCGCCUGCAUGAAGCCGGAAUCGCUAGUAAUCGCGGAUCAGCAUGCCGCGGUGAAUACGUUCCCGGGCCUU